rnacentral:rRNA from 1 species
UACGUAGGGACCAAGCGUUGGUCGGAUUUACUGGGCGUAAAGGGCGCGUAGGCGGCGUGGUAAGUCAAUUGUGAAAUCUCCGAGCUUAACUCGGAACGGUCAAUUGAUACUGCUGUGCUAGAGUACAGAAGGGGCAAUCGGAAUUCUUGGUGUAGCGGUGAAAUGCGUAGAUAUCAAGAGGAACACCUGAGGUGAAGACGGGUUGCUGGGCUGAUACUGACGCUGAGGCGCGAAAGCUAGGGUAGCAAACCGG